CAGUAGCCACGGGAAUACGGAGGGGGCUAGCGUUGUUCGGAAUUACUGGGCGUAAAGUGCACGUAGGCGGCUUUGUAAGUUAGAGGUGAAAGCCCGGAGCUCAACUCCGGAAUUGCCUUUAAGACUGCAGAGCUAGCAGGUGAGAGAGGUGAGUGGAAUUCCGAGUGUAGAGGUGAAAUUCGUAGAUAUUCGGAAGAACACCAGUGGCGAAGGCGGCUCACUGGCUCAUACUGGACGCUGAGGUGCGAAAGCGUGAGGAGCAAACAGGAUUAGAUACCCGCGUAGUCCCUGUCUCUUAUAC
rnacentral:rRNA from 1 species